CUGGCGGCGUGCCUAACACAUGCAAGCCGAACGGAGAUACACGCUGUUUGAGGACUUGGUUUAAAAACUUGUGUAUUUAGUGGCGAACGGGUGAGUAACACGUGAGGAACCUGCCUAAAAGAGGGGGAUAACACUUAGAAAUAGGUGCUAAUACCGCAUAAGACCACACUGUCACAUGGCAGAGCGGUCAAAGGAGCAAUCCGCUUUUAGAUGGACUCGCGUCCCAUUAGAUAGUUGGUGAGGUAACGGCUCACCAAGUCGACGAUGGGUAGCCGGACUGAGAGGUUGAACGGCCACAUUGGGACUGAGACACGGCCCAGACUCCUACGGGAGGCAGCAGUGAGGAAUAUUGGGCAAUGGGGGGCCAACCCUGACCCAGCGACGCCGCGUGAGGGAAGAAGGUUUUCGGAUUGUAAACCUCUGUCUUCAGGGACGAUAAUGACGGUACCUGAGGAGGAAGCCACGGCUAACUACGUGCCAGCCGCAGC
rnacentral:rRNA from 1 species